rnacentral:rRNA from 1 species
GUGAGGAAUAUUGGACAAUGGGCGCAAGCCUGAUCCAGCCAUGCCGCAUGCAGGAAGACGCAUCUAUGGUGUGUAAACUGCUUUUGUACGGGAAGAAACACUCCCUCGUGAGGGAGCUUGACGGUACCGUAAGAAUAAGGAUCGGCUAACUCCGUGCCAGCAGCCGCGGUAAUACGGAGGAUCCAAGCGUUAUCCGGAAUCAUUGGGUUUAAAGGGUCCGUAGGCGGUUUAAUAAGUCAGUGGUGAAAGCCCAUCGCUCAACGAUGGAACGGCCAUUGAUACUGUUAGACUUGAAUUACAAGGAAGUAACUAGAAUAUGUAGUGUAGCGGUGAAAUGCUUAGAUAUUACAUGGAAUACCAAUUGCGAAGGCAGGUUACUACUUGUGGAUUGACGCUGAUGGACGAAAGCGUGGGGAGCGAACAGGAUUAGAUACCCGUGUAGUCC